GAAGACAUUUGGGUCUUGAGAGUAUAACUGUAGGGUUUCACCUACAUAAGGCCACCCCGUUGAACCAGGAGGAAGCUUAGCUCUUGGUUUGGAUACCUUAGUUUUCUUCUUGAUGAAGGGAUAAGGGAGCAGACUAAAGAGAAAGAGGCGUAUGUAUAUUAAAAUAGAAGCAAUCUCCAUGCAAAUGUGCAACUUCUUUCUCCCUCUUCCUCCGUGUAUGAGUAUAUAUGAGAUGGGUUUUGGCAGUGAAAUGGGGGAUAUGUUAGAUCGAUGAAACUAAUGUGGAGCAAGGAGGAUUGGUGUUUAUAUAGAAGAGAAGACCAGUGGUAGCAAAAUUGGUUUUGGGGCUUAGUAAUGUGAUUAGGAUUCAUACAUAUCCAACGCUAGUGGCGCAGCACUACAAACCACAUGUGAG
rnacentral:misc_RNA from 1 species